GCUCCAUUGUUCUGAAAUGACUGCAUGGAUUUUAUUCAGCUGGGUUUUUUUUUCAUUUCCUCUGGUUUGAGAAGAACAAAUGUCAGAUUUUAGCCUCAAAUUGAGCACCAAACCACACAACCGGCAGUGUCUGACACUGUUGCCUGAUUAUUAACACAAGCUGCAGGGUUCACAGGGUCUGCACAAGGGACUAACUUGUUUGUGCUGACCCACCAGAACCCCAAAACACUCCUGCGUUGACAUGAAAUACUGAGAACCAGCUGCAGCAAGUUGAACCCCAGCUCCUGGAUGGACUCGCGCAAACAUCCCACUUGUGGCUGACAAAGAAGGAAAUGUUGCAAAGGUUAUCUAUGCCUCAAAGGCAACACCAGACCGAGGAACUCACAUUCUUGAAGCUGUCGUUCAGGGACUGCUGAACAUGUAUAUUAUGACUGUAGGAGUAAAACUCAGAAGUGCAGCUUACAAGAAACUGAGUUCUCACUAGGGGCUGGGAGGAGAAUUCAGAAUAAAAUCUUUCUCUUUUAA